rnacentral:rRNA from 1 species
GAUGAACGCUGGCGGCGUGCCUAAUACAUGCAAGUCGAGCGAACGGACGAGAAGCUUGCUUCUCUGAUGUUAGCGGCGGACGGGUGGGUAACACGUGGAUAACCUACCUAUAAGACUGGGAUAACUUCGGGAAACCGGAGCUAAUACCGGAUAAUAUUUUGAACCGCAUGGUUCAAAAGUGAAAGAUGGUCUUGCUGUCACUUAUAGAUGGAUCCGCGCUGCAUUAGCUAGUUGGUAAGGUAACGGCUUACCAAGGCAACGAUGCAUAGCCGACCUGAGAGGGUGAUCGGCCACACUGGAACUGAGACACGGUCCAGACUCCUACGGGAGGCAGCAGUAGGGAAUCUUCCGCAAUGGGCGAAAGCCUGACGGAGCAACGCCGCGUGAGUGAUGAAGGUCUUCGGAUCGUAAAACUCUGUUAUUAGGGAAGAACAUAUGUGUAAGUAACUGUGCACAUCUUGACGGUACCUAAUCAGAAAGCCACGGCUAACUACGUG